AAAGACAAUGUAAUGUUAAGUGAAAACAAAUCUUUCCAAUGUGAUCAACCUAUCCCAGUCUGUGUUCAGUAAAUGCACCUUUGGAUACAGUUCCAACCUAUGGUAAAUGUGGCAGGUCUUGG